AGUGUCUUUUAAUUGAGAAAACUGGAAGUGAAGAAAAAACAUUCUUAGAGGUAUUCUUUUUUAUAUGUUUCAAUGAAAAGUAGAACCAAAUCCUCACCUUCUGUUAGAAAACUAAAACAAACAAAAACCCCAAACCCAAAGAGUACCAAACUCCCUAAAUUCACCUUCGUAUGGUCUCUUCCAGAGUCUGUCAGGUAGAAAUCCAUUUGGAAUAGUAAGAAGGUUGAGUAUCUCAGACUGAGGGAUGCUGGAAGAGAGCGGCAUUUCUUGGAAAUGUCACUGCUGAACCCAUUCUUCUCUUAGGAAAAAGGAAAAGAAUGCGACUUUUUCUUUCUGUCUGUCUUUUUUUUUUUUUUUUCCCAACAAAGCCAGUAAAUGGAAAAUAAUAAUUUUUAUGAACUGCCAGAAAAUGGAAUACAUCCCAGAAUGAAGCAGGAGCUGGCCACUUCACUGUUGCCAGUGAUCUCUGGAAAACUCACAGAUGUAAAAAUCUGUAUUAGUAUAUGACCGUAUCUCCUCCCUGCUUCUGAUAGAGGCCGUGUUUCACUUCCUAUUUCUCUCAUUAUUUCUAUUGGAGAUAUGUCAGAUUUAGGAACUCUCGGAAGUAGCUGAGAAUAUCUUUGAAGUUUGUUCUGAAAUAGAAUAUUUAUUUUUUAAAAACUUCUAAUAAUCUAGUUGUUCAGUAUGUAAGUGAUGGAAAGAAAAUAUUAUGCCUUUCAUCACCAGGCUAUGAAGAAUUGAUAGCAUGGUGUUUCAUUUGUAUGAAUAGAAAAGCCAAGUUUAAAUCAAGUUCAAUUCUAUUAUUUUAACAGUGCUUUGGACUCACUAGCAGCUCAUUGGUAUGGUCAGGACUUUAAAAGCUCAAACAGAAAUCAUUUAUUUAUUGCUGAGAACCUAGAUUAUCGUUACUGUAAGUUUCUGGACCAAAGCAUAUGUGUAAGUAAGUAUUUAAUUGAAGAGUAUUAAGAGAACACUGGAGAGAGUCUGCCAUAAGGGUAUAAUAAAAGUGAAGUCAUAUUACCAUAAAAGCUUCAGAUUUUGGCACACGUCGACUGCUUUUAAAUCCUUACAGAAGUUUAGAAGCAAGUUUUUUGACUCUAUACAUAAAGGAGUAGCGAAGAAUUGGAUUAUCUACAUUGUGAGACUGCAUUGAGAUUGAAUACAAGGAGCUGUGAACUGAGUGCUUGAAAGUGGGAAUUACUGCAUCUGAGGAGAAUUUCCAGACUUUAAUGUGUACAUUUCUGGAGAAGAGCAUAGUUUAUACCCCAUAAAUCUCAAGAAAAAUUGCUAGUAAGAUUGAUGGUUUGGAGUUAGUAAUUUACAAUGAAGCUACAAGUACAAGAAUAAAACAGAAGUGUAGCAAAUUAGACAGGAAUGGCAAAAAACUAUUUACAAAACUGAAGAAGAUGGGAGUUAGUAUGUGAAAAAUUAUAAAGCUGGAUAUCUGACUAACUGGACAGUGGGUUGUAGUAAAAAAAAAAAAAAAAAAAAAAAAAAAAAGGAGAGAGAAAAUACUGGCUUGAGGGGGAAACAGGGAAACAGCAGUGGAAUUUCCCAAAGAUAAGGAAGUUAAUGGAGUGUGUCAUAUUUUCAUCAAUAAUUUUUUUAUCAAGUUCUCUUACUCUGCUUUUACAGUUGUCACAAGUUUGACAAGGACUGACAACAGAGAAUUGAGUCUUGUUUUAGGUGCUGGAACCUUUUGGGGUUCUUGAAGAUAUUAUCUGGAGAACGUGAGAAAUUGGGAAUGUUUGCUUUCCAAGGCCUUGUAAUCAGUUACGCUUUACUUUUCCCAUUCAACGAUCGGAGGAUUACUGGGCAAAUUCUAAAGGGAGGAGUUCAGUAAUAGAGUAAGAAGGCACUUUGUCCUGAAGCCUUGAGUGCCCUGUUGCUGCAGCUCUGCAGGAGAGGCUUCCAGCCCUGCUGCCUCCUUUUGGGUAUUGAGUUUUGGUGUUGGUUGCUGAGAGCUGUUGAGUCCCCACACUAGCCAUAGCUGCAGGUGUAUGGAAGGGUGAGUAAAGAAAAUAUCCCUAAUGAAGGAUUAAUGCUGAGAAAUUAAUUCAUAUGAUUUACAUGUUCAUACUUUACCAUGCUAAAUAUGUUAGCAGUGUAUGUAUUAUCAUUUUUGAUAGGAAAAUACUGGAAAAUCAAGCUCAAUUCUUCUUAUUCUUUUGGUUAACUCCAAGAUAUUUUCAUGUUGCAUCUUGUAACAAGCUGUUAGGACACUUGCAUGAGAUUUCAGCUGGGAUUCAGUCCCCAUGCUGAUUCUGUCAGACCUUUUUGCUAAGUUAGAGCCCUGAUUGGAUGGUGUUGGAUAUGGAGUGUGCCCAAAGCCACUU
rnacentral:lncRNA from 1 species